rnacentral:rRNA from 1 species
CCUACGGGGGCAGCAGUGGGGAAUAUUGGACAAUGGGCGAAAGCCUGAUCCAGCCAUGCCGCGUGUGUGAAGAAGGCCUUCGGGUUGUAAAGCACUUUCAGUGGGGAAGAAAGCCUUGGGGCUAAUACCCUCGAGGAAGGACAUCACCCACAGAAGAAGCACCGGCUAACUCCGUGCCAGCAGCCGCGGUAAUACGGAGGGUGCGAGCGUUAAUCGGAAUUACUGGGCGUAAAGCGCGCGUAGGCGGUCUGAUAAGCCGGUUGUGAAAGCCCCGGGCUCAACAUGGGAACGGCAUCCGGAACUGUCAGGCUAGAGUGCAGGAGAGGAAGGUAGAAUUCCCGGUGUAGCGGUGAAAUGCGUAGAGAUCGGGAGGAAUACCAGUGGCGAAGGCGGCCUUCUGGACUGACACUGACGCUGAGGUGCGAAAGCGUGGGUAGCAAACAGGAUUAGAUACCCCGGUAGUC